AUCAGCUUGUUGGUGGGGUGAUGGCCUACCAAGGCGACGACGGGUAGCCGGCCUGAGAGGGUGUCCGGCCACACUGGGACUGAGAUACGGCCCAGACUCCUACGGGAGGCAGCAGUGGGGAAUAUUGCACAAUGGGCGCAAGCCUGAUGCAGCGACGCCGCGUGGGGGAUGACGGCCUUCGGGUUGUAAACCUCUUUCAGUACCGACGAAGCGCAAGUGACGGUAGGUACAGAAGAAGCACCGGCCAACUACGUGCCAGCAGCCGCGGUAAUACGUAGGGUGCGAGCGUUGUCCGGAAUUACUGGGCGUAAAGAGCUCGUAGGUGGUUUGUC
rnacentral:rRNA from 1 species